rnacentral:rRNA from 1 species
GAUGAACGCUGGCGGCGUGCCUAAUACAUGCAAGUCGAGCGAACAGACGAGGAGCUUGCUCCUCUGACGUUAGCGGCGGACGGGUGAGUAACACGUGGAUAACCUACCUAUAAGACUGGGAUAACUUCGGGAAACCGGAGCUAAUACCGGAUAAUAUAUUGAACCGCAUGGUUCAAUAGUGAAUGACGGUUUUGCUGUCACUUAUAGAUGGAUCCGCGCCGCAUUAGCUAGUUGGUAAGGUAACGGCUUACCAAGGCAACGAUGCGUAGCCGACCUGAGAGAGUGAUCGGCCACACGGGAACUGAGACACGGACCAGACGCCUGCGAGAGGCAGCAGUAGGGAAUCGGCCGCAAUGGGCGAAAGCCUGACGGAGCAACGCCGCGUGAGUGAUGUAGGUCUUCGGAGCGUAAUACUCUGUUAUGAGGGAAGAACAAAUGUGUAAGUAACUAUGCACGUCUUGACGGUACCUGAUCAGAAAGCCACGGCUAACUACGUG